AGUUUGCAAGGGCCAUAAAAAAUUCAACUAAAUGGCACACCUCGAUUUCUAAAGGAUUAAAGUUAAUUAAGUGAGGCUUAUGGGUGUUGAAAUUUUGUUUGUAAUGGCACACCUCGAUUCCGAUUUUAAAGGAAGCUCAAACUAAGCUUUUGAGGACCAUAAACUAUAUCUUACUUAAUAUGGUACGCCUCAAAUCUAUUUUAAAUAGUCUACUUAAUUAAGAAAAGCUUAAAGAAAUUCUAGUUAUUUUUCUAACAAAAGGUUCGAACCUAAUUAGCAACUAACAUGCAUUGUAAUAAGCAACCAAUUAUCUAAAGAAAUAUUGCUUCAAAAACAGUAGACUAAACGAGGAGACUGGGUUCGACAAAACAGGCCCAAAUAGCAUAAGGUAUACAAUCCCAUUUGCAAGUGCCUUCAGGCUUGGGCCCAAAAUGAGUCCAAAUUUAGCAAGAUAAUGAGCACCAAACGAGGGACAUGAAAUUGAAUGUUUAUCAGUCGGGCCAACAUUAGGCCCAAAUCUUAGAACCAAAUAAUUUGUACAGAAUCAAUUAAACGCAGUUCAACUAAUGCUACAUGAAACAUGAAAUCGAAUUAACAUUUUAACAUCUUAAUUUAAACUAUUUAAGUAAAACUCAACUAGUUAAACUUCUAAAUUUUAUCUUUCACGCAUUUUGGGUCAAGUCUGCUGCGGGAAAAAUCCAGCAGGCAAACAAACGAGCUAGUGGGCUCAAGAAUCAAGCCACGUAGUAAUGGCAUACCAUCCUUCCUUGCAAAUGACCUUAGAGCCUAAGGCCCAAGGAACCUAAACCUUGCAGAAGCCGAGGCUGAGGAUCAUAACUCAAUAUCGAGUCCAUACAAUAAUAAAAUUAUCAUUUGCACCCAACAAUACCAAACAAACAUGGUAGAUUUCAUAAAUAUACAUCAGCUGGGUCGCAUAGAAGCUUCAAGGGGUACUGACUCAUAUUACACUGAAAAAAACACACUCUUGACCUUAAUUAUACUGAUAACAAAACCAACCAAAUUUUCAUGCUUAAAUUUAAUUCUAGGCUAAUUCACUAAUGAACAUAUGAAAUUUAACCUCAGCUAAAUCUUUUCUCAAUAUCAACAGCAACAAAAUUCGGGAAAUUAACACCAUUCACUUGAAUCCAAACAUUACACCUACCCUCUCAAAUAGCACUGAUUCAUUCUUACAGCGUAUUAAUUGUAAGGCCCGUGAAAACCUAUACUCAAAAACCUAGUAGCUCAUGGUGCCAUGUUUUGAAUAUGUGUUAGGAAUCCACGGUUCGAACCGUUUGUUCUGAUCUAGCAUUUAAAAAUUAAGAAUAAAAGUUUUACAGAAAAGUGCUAUUAUGCGAUCCAGAAUGCGAUCGCAAAUCAAGUAUGUGGACCACAUUUCUGCCGCAGAGUGAGUCAGUGUGUUAGCUAAUUUGAGAUUAAAGAUGCCGUCUAUUAUGCGAUCGCAUAAUCGAUCUGCGGACCGCAUAGUCGUCGCAUAAUUUCCUUGGAAACUUAUGAAGGUUAGUUCUGCAGUGCAUUAUGCAACCACAAAACGGGUAUGCAAACCGCAUUUCCGGUGCAUUUCCAAACAAAAUGUUCAGAUUUUGGGAGCCUUUUUUCGGUCCAAUCUGCGGCCCGCAUUUCCACUUUGCGAUCGCAAAGCUGACUUGGGCUCUUAUUUUUCUAAAUUUUCAACCCGACCCCUUCUUUAAUAAAACACCCCAACCCUUCAUUUUAACAUAUUUUUUGAACAAAAAUAGAGAGAGUGAAGAUAGAAUUAUUGAGAGAGAAAGUCCUACCUUUAUCAAUUUGAUUCCUUAAAGUCACCUGGGCCGGAAAAUUUCAAGUAAUUAUCUUCAUCUUCGUUCUUGCAGGUAAAAUCCCCAACCAUUUUCAUUGGUAUUCAGAANNNNNNNNNNNNNNNNNNNNNNNNNNNNNNNNNNNNNNNNNNNNNNNNNNNNNNNNNNNNNNNNNNNNNNNNNNNNNNNNNNNNNNNNNNNNNNNNNNNNNNNNNNNNNNNNNNNNNNNNNNNNNNNNNNNNNNNNNNNNNNNNNNNNNNNNNNNNNNNNNNNNNNNNNNNNNNNNNNNNNNNNNNNNNNNNNNNNNNNNNNNNNNNNNNNNNNNNNNNNNNNNNNNNNNNNNNNNNNNNNNNNNNNNNNNNNNNNNNNNNNNNNNNNNNNNNNNNNNNNNNNNNNNNNNNNNNNNNNNNNNNNNNNNNNNNNNNNNNNNNNNNNNNNNNGGGGGGAUUCUCAUUCAUCAAUUCUUGAUAAUAUGAGUUGAACCAUACAUGCAUGUCCUUUAAAGCCUAAAAUCUAGUGAGAGGAAUUGGGUAGAAGUAAAGAUUUGCAGAAGAGGGGUUAAUAAUCUAAGUAAGUUUGGGUUGAGUUUGUGAACUUUAAUUCUAAGUUAUAUGUGUUAACUUAUGAACUAGACUGUCGGUACUAGGCUGUUGGUGAAUUGAAAGUAGACGAUAAAAGGGAAUUUGACUCUCAGGUAUGUAUGACUAACUUUAACGUUUGUGAAGUCACCUUGUUUGGUGUACGAGUAAUUGGUAUGUGUUACUUAUGUGGACUAUUUUUGAAUUCUUGUGAUUAUAAUGCCUCGAACGAUGUUGGUUAAGUUUCUCGAUAUAAUGGUGUAAGUAAAUGGCAACAAACCAAAUAUGUGUGUGUAUGAAUGUAUUUACGUGGUAAGAGCUGUGUAACAAAUGAUGGAAAGAAAUCGCAAUUGAUGCAAUUGAAAAAUGUUGUGGUAAUAUCAUAUGUGACUUGUCUUGGGCAAUUAUCGUUGUGACUUAAAUAUACGGGUUGUUGUAUUUGAUGGAAAUGGUAUUGAUGUUUAUGAAAAUUCUUUCUAAAUUGACUCACCUGUGCUCACUUCCAUUUAAAAAAUCAUAUUGGAUUUCUAAUUGGUUCUCAACAGAAGGGUGGAAAACCUCUGAAAGGAAAGGCAGAUUUAAUACUAUCCAUUGUCUCGCUAAGGUCAGUAGCAGGACAUAGAGCAGGGAUUGAGUAGUAUUGGGAGGCGGACUUAUAUUCCUCCGUUACGAGUUGACGACGUUUUCACUACUCAAACUUGUUCCAGUAGGUAGACACUUCCUUAUCAGAGAACCGUACGUUAGACUUCUACCUCAUACGGCUCCAUCCCGAGCUUUUGUCGUCGUCCUUGGCAUUAAACCACUAUCUAUGCAUAUAUUUUCAGCCUGGACUAACGAAUCUUUGUGGAAGGCAAGCAAUAAAUCCAAUCCGUUUAAAAGAGAACCUGAAUCCCCUCUUUCUGCCCUACUUCAUGCCAAUCACUCUCCUUCCUUCCCCAAGAGCUACUAGUUGUAGCCUUUGGCUACCAUGAGAGCCUUGUAGUGAUCAAUAUCCCCAUCAGACUUUGACUUUCUCGGAAGUGAGCACAGGUGAGAGGACCCCACUUUCCCACAUUCAUCUCCCCACGAGCAGAACACCAGAGAUGCAUAGCCCAGCUUCGGAUUCUCCUUAAGGCACCGCGUUGAGUAGGGAUUUGAAUAGAAACUCUAUUUUGGUUUGGCAAAACAAUUAUUUGGUUAUGUUAUUUUGGGAUUUGCUUUAACCGAAGCUAUUGCCUUGUUUUCCUUAAUGAUGGCCUUCUUAAUCCUCCUUGCGAUGCAAAGGCAAUGUCAGGGAGUCCGACUUUUCAAUAGAAACAAAGAUCAAGCAGGGUGGCCAUAGUGAGAUAGAGUGGUGAAACUGGGUUCCGAAUAAAAAUAGAGCUCGAGGUCAAUCCUUUCUUUUAGGAGAUAUCCCACCCCUUCUUUAGUGCUUGUUCAUUCUAUAAGACUUUCUUCUCGUUAUCGGUGCCUCCCCUUUCCUCUGAGGCCGAUCGCAUCCACUUUUGGAGCCCCUCUUCUCUGAGGAGAUCACGAAUUCCCCUGCCGACUGAGAGAUUCAAUUCAUGGGAUUCUCUGGUGGAGGUUGGCUAAAGGUCACAUGUCGACCUAUUUGUGUUGCGGCGCAAAGAAUGGUACUCGAAUCCAUUUACGAUCUCGAGUUUCCAGACACAUUGCACUUCCGCUCGGGUCGAGGCUUCCACUCCGUCCUAAGACGUAUCAAAGAAGAGUGGGUCUCAUGCACUAGAAGCGAGACCUGAAGGGCAACCUAUCUUCAGUAGGGGCCUUUAGUCUUUUGAUUAGAGUAGGGGUAUACUGAACACGAACCCGAUAUCAAAGAACUAAAGAGGAAGCUAGUCGAUCAUUCAACAGUAGAAAUCUUACCGCAGGAUCCAACCUGCCACCUUUCUUCUCUUAUGAUAUUUCUUGAAAAUUCGAGCCUUCUAUCAAAGAACGGUUAUGAGAAGGGUAACGUGCUUGGGCGAGACAUUGUUGUUGUCGUGUGAAAUGUAAUUGUCCAGUGGGAUCGGCUUGCGCGCCGCAACACGAAGUUAUAAGGGGGAUUUUGGUGAUAAAGGUGGCCGAGGGAAUAAGGGUUGUGCUUAAUAUGCCUUGAACAUUGUUGGUUAAACGUUCCGAUAUGAUGGUAUGAAUAAAUGGCAACAAACCAAGCGUGCGUGUGAAUGUGUUUAUGUGAUAAGGGCUGUGUAAUAAAUGAUGGAAAGAAGUCAUAAUUGAUGCAAUCGAAACAACUGUGGUAACAUCAUGUGUGACUUUAACUGUGAACUAUUUUUGUUGUGUGAGAUGUGAUUAUCUGGUGGGAUCAGGUUGUGUGCCGCAACACGAAGUUAUAAGGUAUGAUUUUGGUGAUAAAGGUGGCCGAGGUAAUAAGGGUGGAAAAGUGAUUGAAAUCACUAUUGAAAUGAGAAUAUGUGAAAGUUGUGAAAUCACUGAUGAGAUAGAAUAAUGUUGAUAGGGGAAAAUGAGAGAUUAUUAAACUUGUUUGGCUUUGGUUGUUCCUUUCAUGUGCAUUUGAUUGUUGAUUCUAUUACUCUUUGUAAUAUGUGUAUUGAUUGAUUUUACUUGGGGAAAAGUUUGUUCAUACAUACUAGUACAAUUCAAAUGUACUGACAUCCCUUUACCGGGGGUACUACAUUCGUGUUAUGAGUGUAGGUGGUUCCAUAGCAGGUACUCCAGUCCACCGACAGUAGCACCUCCUCCACUUCCCGUCAGCUGAAUUGGUGAUCCCCUUUCCUCUCGGGGCCCUGUGUGGCUCACGCUGCUUGUUCUUGCGAAAUCUUAUUUUAGUAUUUGUGUAAGGUAUAGCCGGAGCCUUGUUACCGACAAGUAUUGUAACACUCUUUUGUAUCCCUAGAGGCUCCAUAGAUAGAAAAUGUGGGUUAUAUACUUAUGUAUUUUGUAUUUGGUAGUGUAACUUGUAAACCACACUAAGUAACUAUGCAUGUUAUAUAAAUCUCGUAAGAACAUGUUUAAAUUUGUAAAUGGCUAUUCACUUGGUUAUGGAUAAUGAAAAAGCGGGGUAACACGUGGGAUAGGAAAGGUACCCAGGUCCGCUUGAUUGGGGCUACCCGGUCGAGCACUGAUUAUGCCCCUCGGUUUUGGGGCAUGACAUUAAUGACAUGAGAAAACUGAAAUAACAUAUACAACUUAAGAUUUACUGCAUAAUGAUAUGGAAUUGGAAGAAACAGAAGAAGUAAAACUCAAAGCACAAUUUGUAUUCACUCAGGUUUCCACUCGAAAUAUGUGUUUAGAAUCACUUUCCAUCCAUUUUUUAAAAUAUACCUGGAAAUUAAAACGGAACCAUAAGGGAUGAGGAGUUAACAAAUAGCUGCAAUAGAAUCAGCUUAACAAACCCAUCAAAAGAAUAAUACCCCAAACAGCAACUUAAACCAACUUUUAAACCCAAACUCGAGCCACUUUUACCCAGAUGCACAAUUUUUGGAAAAUUUUCAGAAGUUCUAAACCAACAAUGGGAUUCAGAGAACCAAACAACCAAAACCAAUUUGAGCAAUUUUCAGUAUUUUUGGAAUUUGAAACGGAACUCAGUUGCUUCUGAAAUUUCAGUAUUUUUUUAGCCUUUGUUCAAUCUCUAAACCUCUAAAAUAUAACUUGUGUUUGAAGAAACAAUGCUUUUAUAAAGAGCUUUUAUGGUAGAAGAAAUGAGUUAAGUUUUUGCCUUUUACCCUUUUUCAAAUUUUUAGUUUUGCUCGUUUGUCCUUAGUUUGAAAAUCAGCUUUCAAAAUUAGUCCCAAUCCCAUCUUAUGGGCAACUUCCUAAGUUAGUUACAAGAGAUUCCCUAACCUAAAAUUCCUAAACUAACCUUUAAACCCCUAUUUUUUACUCCUUAAACAAAAUGGGUCAAGCCUGACCCAAGGCUUAAACACAAUGAAUGGGCUGCCUUUUUGAAAAUUGUUCAGAAUUGACCCAAAGCCUAAACAAUAGGUGAUCCAAACUAAAAUUCUAUGAUUUUAUCAAAAGCAGUAGAAAAUAAAUACUUAAAUGAUUUGAAAACUAAAAUUAACUACAUGACUGAUUAAUAACAGAAAUGGACAUGGAAUUAACUAGGUUAUUAUAUCACAAAAGACCUAAUCAAAAUGACUACAAAACUAAAAUAAGAAGACAAAAAUCAAGAUUUUAACAUGGCAUGGAAUAAAGCUAGCAGGUCAACAACAAUUAGAGAGCAAACUUUUAAGAUUUGAAAAUAAAACUAAGAAGCCAACGAAACAAAUAUGAACACAAAAUUAAUCUAAAGGGAAAACCUAGGUUCAGAACUUUCCUCGAAUUUCAGUCAAAAUAAAAACUGAUGAAAGAAAGGAAGAAGAAAAGAAGAGGAAUAAGAGGUGAAUCACACAAAAACGGACGAAAAAAGAGGAAGAAAACUUACCAACUCAAACUCGAACCAAUACUGGACUCCUCGAUUUAAUGAAACUGAUGCUAAUCACUUGUUCUUUGCCAAGAACAAAUGAAGAACAUCGAUUUGCAUUGAAUCAAGCUUUAAACUCGAAAGAAUUGGAAGCCUACGGUCAUGCAUGCCAACAGAUUCAAUGGAAAUUGAUUUUAGGCUUUUAGGGUUUCGAACUCAAAUUCAAUAUUCGAGGGGUUUUGCAAAGAUUCGAACGAGAUUGCGAAAAUGGAAGGCUGUGAGGAUUCUAUGGUGUUAAUUUGGGACUGAUUCGGGGUGGCACCGCCAGUCAGAGAUGGUGGAGAUUUAGGGGCGGUGCUAGGGUUAGGGGUGAUUCUAUGAAGAUGAAGACGAGAAGUGAGGGAGAUAAAAU
rnacentral:lncRNA from 1 species